rnacentral:rRNA from 1 species
CCUACGGGAGGCAGCAGUGGGGAAUUUUGGACAAUGGGCGCAAGCCUGAUCCAGCCAUGCCGCGUGAGUGAAGAAGGCCUUCGGGUUGUAAAGCUCUUUCGGUAGGAACGAAAUGGUUCGUGCUAAUACCGCGGACUGAUGACGGUACCUGAAGAAGAAGCACCGGCUAACUACGUGCCAGCAGCCGCGGUAAUACGUAGGGUGCAGGCGUUAAUCGGAAUUACUGGGCGUAAAGCGUGCGCAGGCGGUUUCUUAAGUCAGAUGUGAAAGCCCCGGGCUUAACCUGGGAACUGCGUUUGAAACUGGGAGACUAGAGUGUGGCAGAGGGGGGUGGAAUUCCACGUGUAGCAGUGAAAUGCGUAGAUAUGUGGAGGAACACCGAUGGCGAAGGCAGCCCCCUGGGUUAACCACUGACGCUCAUGCACGAAAGCGUGGGGAGCAAACAGGAUUAGAUACCCUGGUAGUCCCACGACCUAACCUACUGUCACUAGUUGGUCGGGUAGUUAACUACCUUCGUACGUAACGACUACGCGUGAGUAGUACCGCCGUCGGGNGGACGGCCGCGACGGUAAACGUACAAGAAGUAGACGCGUGAGACGUGCCGACGGACGACGACGAGGGAGGUAGG